rnacentral:rRNA from 1 species
AUGGCGCGCGCCUUCGUGCGCUCCAUCUCCUUCCCUCUCAGCCCCUCGAGGUCUCCCAAGUCGCGUGCGCCAUCGUCGUCGUACCACGGGCGGUCUGUGAGCUUGCCGUGCCGCUCGCACCCGAUCUUGGCGCACCUCCACACCCACAUCCGCUCCGUGCGCGCCUGGGCGCAGCAGGGCCCGUCGGCGUUAGCCUCCUCCGUGGCCACGGGACUGGCGCACGUCGACGCACUCCACGCGGCGCUUGGUGACCUGCUGGACCUGCCCGAGGCCCAGGCAGCGCUCUCCGGCGCCGGAGGCAGCGUGGACCGCCUCCUGGACUCCUUCCUCCGCCUGGCCGACGCGCACGGCUACUUCCAGGAGGCCGUGGUGUCGCUCAAGCAGGACGUCGCCGAGGCGCUGGCUUCCGUGCGCCGUUGCGACGGGGCACGCCUUGCUUCUGCAGUGCGGUCGCAGCGCGGGGCCGGGAAGGAGCUCGCGCGCCUCGCCGCGGCGGCCAGCGAGUGCGCCGUCAGGCCCUCGCGCCUGAGUAUGCUCGGCGGCAGCCAAGGCAGCGCGGCUGAGGUUGAGGUGACCGGGCUGCUGAUGGAGUCGGCCGCGGCCACGGCUUCGGCUUCGGCCGCGCUGUUCGGGGCUGUGGCGGCCAUGUUGGGGUCCGUGGCGGCGGAGUCGUGCUCGUGCAAAGGCACCACGGCCCUGGUGUGUCUGGUGAGGCAGAACAAGAAAAAGGCGCCGAUGCCGAGGUCGGGGGAAGAGGACAGGGUGACGGCGGCCAUGGCGGAGAGGCUGGAGGAGCUGGAGGUGUUCAUCGACGAGCUCGAAGCCGGGAGCGAGAAGGUGUUCCGUAGCCUCGUGCAGACCAGGGUCGCGCUCCUCAACAUCCACACACUGCACAUCUUCUAA